AGUGAACGCUGGCGGCAGGCCUAACACAUGCAAGUCGAGCGGCAGCGGGUUCCCGCGAGGGGAUGCCGGCGAGCGGCGGACGGGUGAGGAACACAUCGGAAUCUGCCUGGUUGUGGGGGAUAACGUAGGGAAACUUACGCUAAUACCGCAUGCGACCCUGAGUCGACGGACUGGGGGUGAAAGUGAGGGACCUUCGGGCCUCACGCGACCAGAUGAGCCGAUGUCGGAUUAGCUAGUUGGCGGGGUAACGGCCCGCCAAGGCGACGAUCCGUAGCUGGUCUGAGAGGAUGAUCAGCCACACUGGGACUGAGACACGGCCCAGACUCCUACGGGAGGCAGCAGUGGGGAAUCUUGGACAAUGGGCGCAAGCCUGAUCCAGCCAUGCCGCGU
rnacentral:rRNA from 1 species